rnacentral:rRNA from 1 species
GCGACUGAACCGGGAAGAGCUCAGCGCAUAACCUGGCGUCGUGACCCGGCGCCAGGGGUGUUGCGUUUCGGAGGGUCCGGCACGCAGUCUCUCACCGCCUAAGUUAUGCUUGAAAGCGGCCACUACCCAUGGAGGGUGACAGGCCCGUGUGGCGGCGCCCGCGAGGGUAUACGAGAGAUUGUCGGAAAGGGCCUCUCCGUAGAGUCGG